AGUGAACGCUGGCGGUAGGCCUAACACAUGCAAGUCGAACGGCAGCACAGGAGAGCUUGCUCUCUGGGUGGCGAGUGGCGGACGGGUGAGGAAUACAUCGGAAUCUACCUUUUCGUGGGGGAUAACGUAGGGAAACUUACGCUAAUACCGCAUACGACCUACGGGUGAAAGUGGGGGACCGCAAGGCCUCACGCGAUUAGAUGAGCCGAUGUCCGAUUAGCUAGUUGGCGGGGUAAUGACCCACCAAGGCGACGAUCGGUAGCUGGUCUGAGAGGAUGAUCAGCCACACUGGAGCUGAGACACGGUCCAGACUCCUACGGGAGGCAGCAGUGGGGAAUAUUGGACAAUGGGCGCAAGCCUGAUCCAGCCAUACCGCGUGGGUGAAGAAGGCCUUCGGGUUGUAAAGCCCUUUUGUUGGGAAAGAAAUCCUAUCGGUUAAUAACCGGUGGGGAUGACGGUACCCAAAGAAUAAGCACCGGCUAACUUCGUGCCAGCCGCCGCCGUAACAC
rnacentral:rRNA from 1 species